UACGGAGGGGGCUAGCGUUGUUCGGAAUUACUGGGCGUAAAGCGCACGUAGGCGGCUUUGUAAGUUAGAGGUGAAAGCCCGGGGCUCAACUCCGGAAUUGCCUUUAAGACUGCAUCGCUUGAAUCCAGGAGAGGUGAGUGGAAUUCCGAGUGUAGAGGUGAAAUUCGUAGAUAUUCGGAAGAAACACCAGUGGCGAAGGGCGGCGACCUGGUCCGAUACUGACGCUGAGGCGCGAAAGCGUGGGGGAGCAAACAGG
rnacentral:rRNA from 1 species